GACGAACGCUGGCGGCGUGCUUAACACAUGCAAGUCGAACGGAAAGGCCCUGCUUUUGUGGGGUGCUCGAGUGGCGAACGGGUGAGUAACACGUGUGUAACCUGCCCUUGACUUUGGGAUAACUUCAGGAAACUGGGGCUAUUAGCGGAUAGGAGCUCCUGCUGCAUGGUGGGGGUUGGAAAGUUUCGGUGGUUGGGGGUGGACUCGCGGCGUAUCAGCUUGUUGGUUGGGUAGUGGCUUACCACGGCCUGGACGGGUAGCCGGCCUGAGAGGGUGACCGGCCACGUUAGAACUGAGAUGAGGCCCAGACUCGUACGGGAGGCGACGGUGGAGAAUGUAGCACAAGACACGGAAGCCUAAUGCGGCAACGCCGCGUGGGGGGUGACGGCAUUCGGGUAGUAAUCCGCUUUCGCCUGUGACGAGACGUGAGUGACGGUAAUGGGUAAAGAAGCACCGGCUAACUACGUG
rnacentral:rRNA from 1 species